rnacentral:rRNA from 1 species
AAAGAGUUCUAUAACUCCCAAACCCAUGUGAACAUACCUAACGUUGCCUCGGCAGGUCGCGCCUACCUCGUAGUCUUACCCUGUAAGACUUACCCGGGAGGUGCGGGUAAGCCUGCCGGCGGCCCACCAAACUCUGUUUGAUAUUGAAUUCUGAACCUAUAACUAAAUAAGUUAAAACUUUCAACAACGGAUCUCUUGGUUCUGGCAUCGAUGAAGAACGCAGCGAAAUGCGAUAAGUAAUGUGAAUUGCAGAAUUCAGUGAAUCAUCGAAUCUUUGAACGCAUAUUGCGCCCAUUAGUAUUCUAGUGGGCAGGACCGUUCGAGCGUCAUUUCGACCCUUAAGCCUUAGUUGCUUAGUGUUGGGAGCCUACGGUAACGUAGCUCCUCAAAGUUAGUGGCGGAGUUGGUUCACACUCUAGACGUAGUAAUUUUUUAUCUCGCCUAUUAGUUGGACUGAUCCCCUGCCGUAAAACCCCAACUUCUCAAGGUUGACCUCGAAUCGGUUCAGACAAACUCGC